AGAAGGAUCAGGUAGAGAAGAAACCUGUUGGCUCAGGUGCGACGUCACGUGAGGGCGGGGGCAGCACGCGGCGGGCGGGCGCGUGCGGCGGCGGUUGCCUCCUUGGCCGCCAGGUGGCAGGCCGGCAAAUCGAUCGCUGCCUCCCAGAUAUAACCCGGCCAGUGCUCGUGUAGGGCGUGUCGUCAAAUUGUCGCUGCAAACUCCCCGUUUUACCGUCGUUCUUGCUGUCAUUCUGAUCUACUAACAGGUGUAGCAGCAGGCAGGAGAGCAGCAGCAGUAGCAGCAGGCACAGCAGUAGCAGGUGUUGGGUUAGCGCUGGAGACCUAAUGGUCCGCCGGCGUACCCUAUGUUGAGCCUGCGCCUCGUGUCCACCAGGUCACUGAAACAACCUUAGGCAGGACCAUCAUGUGCCGUGACAGAGAUAUGAACCCUUGACCUUCUUUUCUACCUGCCCGCUGCCCAGUUAUCACCACCACCGCCGCUGUCAUCACAGUCGUAAUUGACGACUCCGUCAAUUCUAUCGCCGCUGCCGCCGCCACGACCACUGGUAUAUUCGAGGCAUCGACAUCGUCGCACCCACAACCGCCACCACGGCCGCUGUCUUCGCCCUCACGUGCGCUAUCAGCACACCGUCACCAGGGCCCCCACCAUCACGCCAGCAACAGCGUCAGCUCGAGUCCGGUGUUCCUCAGUGUAGCUCAGCUUAAAUAAGGCUCUGUCAGCCCAACCCAGCAGGGCUCAGAGUGGUCAGAGCGUCAGGGCAGUGGCACGGCCCUUCCCUUUCCUUAACCACCACCACCACCACCACCACCACCACCACACCACCAUCACCUUCCAGACCUGUCCUUCAAGCACACCGAAUCCCAAGGCCGGGUUGCCUUGCCUGCUCCCGCCUGAACCUCCUUCCCUUCCCUGCAGGAUACUUCCUGUCACCACCUUCCUCACCUCACCUCACCUCCCCGGACCACCU